CCCUUAGAUGUUCUGGGCCGCACGCGCGCUACACUGAUGAAUUCAACGAGCACUAACCUGUGCCGAAAGGUUCGGGUAAUCUUGUGAAAUUUCAUCGUGAUGGGGAUUGAUUAUUGCAAUUUUUAAUCAUAAACGAGGAAUGCCUAGUAAGCGUGAGUCAUCAGCUCACGUUGAUUACGUCCCUGCCCUUUGUACACACCGCCCGUCGCUCCUACCGAUUGAAUGUUCCGGUGAGCUCUUCGGACUGCGCGGUCUGCAGUUUCUGCGUUCCGUGCGGAAAGUUGCGCAAACCUUAACAUUUAGAGGAAGGAGAAGUCGUAACA
rnacentral:rRNA from 1 species